UACGUAGGGUGCGAGCGUUAAUCGGAAUUACUGGGCGUAAAGCGUGCGCAGGCGGUUUUGUAAGUCAGAUGUGAAAGCCCGGGCUCAACCUGGGAACUGCGUUUGAAACUACAAGGCUAGAGUAUGGCAGAGGGGGUAGAAUUCCACGUGUAGCAGUGAAAUGCGUAGAGAUGUGGAGGAAUACCAAUGGCGAAGGCAGCCCCUGGGUCAAUACUGACGCUCAUGCACGAAAGCGUGGGAGCAACAGG
rnacentral:rRNA from 1 species